CAUUAAAGACUGUUAAUCUGACAGAUUUUUUUGAAGUGUCAAUAAUACAAAUGUAUUAUUUUUGGAGAUAGAAUAGCUGCGUCCAUUUCCUUCUAUUCCUAGUGUAAAUUUAUUGUAGGAUGUGGUUAUAGACGUACGCAUAUUACGGGCCAUACGCGGAGAAAUAAAUGAGACAAAAGUAGGUGGUAUUUCUGAGUAAAAUGUAGUUAAGUAGAUACAGAGAUGGACGAAAAUGGCUCCGUAACAAACGCUUGGUAUUAUUGUGUCCUUGGUAGCCAGUCGCUAGUUGUCCACUAGCACUAGGUUUUUUUCUUGUGACAAAAAUUCUGUUCUGUUUCCAUGCGCAGUCCUUACAAGUCCGGACGCUCAUUAGUGUGACUUGCACAACAUCACUCGCGGCUCGAAAUGACAGAUGAAUAGCUUCUCUGUCAAUUGACGACCUCACAUUCUGUUAGGGUUUCUUUUCUUUUGAACACAGUUCAACCUUCAAAUCGUGUACCCAUUUUCUGAGUGCGGCUGUUGUAGGGCUGACUUUCCUGGGCAAAAUUUGUCGUUCAGCAACCUUUCACGGUAAAAGGAAGGAACGUUUAAUGGUUUCAUAUCGAGCGAUUUGCAUGGCGCUGUGUGCAAUUUGCGCAGGGCUUCUGGGGAAAGAUAGGUGAAAAGAAACGUAUUAGAGGAUGCUUCUCGUUUAGCAAAAGAAAAUGACUGGUUCAUUGGAAGCUCAAACCAUUGAAAGGGGUAUUUCUUAAUAUAAAGGUUCUUCUAAAACUCGCCUUGUACUCGUAUGGGAACGGUUCACAUUAGGGUCUAAAUCUUGGGUUGGGUCUUCAUUUGGAUCACUUAGAGUCCCUCUUGGGCAACUUGGAUUAUUUUUAGGUCCUUCUAUGAAGGUCUUGGAAGGAAGGUUAGGUGCAUAUCAUUUUGAAAAUAGUUUUGUAAACAAGAAAGUGCUUGCUUUAAUAAUUUCAUCCUUGAGUGAAAAAUUUGUGAAAUUGCUUGAAAGGUGUUGCCCCUAACCUUGUUGGGGCGUUGCCUCUAUAUCCACAAGGGAGGCAUCACCCGCGAAUCCCCAUGAGGGGUGUUGUUGUUCAACCCUAUAGAGCAACUUCAAAAGGUACAUCUCUAAAGUAGAGAGCUUUAGAAGAAGCCAUAGUCAAAAAGGAGCAAGUGGCUAACAACCUAGCUAUGAAGCCAAGAAAAACAACAAUAGGUCAAAUGAAAGGUAUAAAAAAGUACUAUAUAAUGUUAUUAUUACUUCAAAUAUGAACACUAAAAAAGCAAUAUGAUCAUUCAAAACAAAAUAGAAAUGUGGCUCUGAGAACAAGGCUAAAGAUGAUCAGUCAAAAGUGUUCAUCAUGUGCAACAUUGGUGAACAAGAUAAUGUUGGAAAAUGGUACUUGGCUAGUGGAUGCAAUAAUUACAUGUGUGGUAAAGAAAAAAUAUUUGCAUUACAGAAAGGGAAACACAUUUACAAGUAGAUAAUAAACAUGCAUAAAGAUAAACACAAUGAACACAAGAUAUAUCAUGGGGAAAACUCUUUCGUGUGAAAAACCCCACACCCCAAAAGCACAUUUCUUUGUAUUCUAGUAAUCAAAAUUCUUACAAUACAAUAUCAGCACUUAGUUUCUUCAACAAGAGUCUACAACUACAUCCCACAACUUGAAUUAAUUCCGACAAUAUAACACUUCACCUGCAAAACUUAAGAUGACUACUACUCUCUAUGGCUACCUUUUAUAAAGAAAUACAUCAAAGAAGGAAGCUUCUAGAUGAAGCAACAAGAUGGGGUCUUGCAAAGUAUUUGGCCCUAUUUUUGGGCCACCGAAAAGCAUGCAAAUGACAUGUACAUCUCCAAAUGACUCUCCAUUCAAACCUCCUAUGGCACCCAAAUUUACUAUUUGGAGGUAUGAUAGAUGCUCUUACGCAUCUUACAACCGUCAUAAUUUACUACACUUACAACUGUAUUUGGCCCUAUUUUUGGGCUACCUUUUAUAAAGAAAUACAUCAAAGAAGGAAGCUUCUAGAUGAAGCAACAAGAUGGGGUCUUGCAAAGUAUUUGGCCCUAUUUUUGGGCCACCGAAAAGCAUGCAAAUGACAUGUACAUCUCCAAAUGACUCUCCAUUCAAACCUCCUAUGGCACCCAAAUUUACUAUUUGGAGGUAUGAUAGAUGCUCUUACGCAUCUUACAACCGUCAUAAUUUACUACACUUACAACUGUAAGAGAAUCUGUCAUAGAUGAUUAACACUAGCUUAUUCUCUUACAACUUGUUAUAACCCAAUUUGGGUACCCACCUCCGUGAAAAAGGUAUCUCCUACCACUUGUUCAAUAUGUCAUAGGCUGACACUUGUCAAGAUCUUCAAAGUGGGAAGCCUACCUCCACAUGCAAUAUAUGUGUCAUAAAGUCAUCGUCAAGUAGGAUGGCACCAAGCAUUUGGCUGCCACUAGAUAACUAGACAUUUGUAGACAAACAAUAAAUAAAAUAAUAAAUAAAUAAUGCAAAAUCAAUAUUAAGAUUUGCAAAGAUUGAGAUACCUUAAUCCCAACAUCGAUCUGCUCCGGUGGACAUAUCUUCUACUUUAACAUGCUUGGUGGCUUCUUCAGACAGCAGCUUUCUUAAUUUUUUUAAGGCCUUAAGCAACCUUUGAUCAGCUUCUCAUUCAUCUUCCGUUCUAUAAUGUCCACUCUUACAAACCCUCGAUCUUAACUGUUCUGAUGUCAUUCUGUUGGGGUGGAUGGAGACAAAAACGAACACAAACAUAAUACGCAGAAAUAAAAAAUAUCAACACAUCUUACAAAAUAUAAAUAUGAAGAUUCAUCAAAACUGCGUUCAGUGCUACAUCACUUUAUCAUUAAUCAAGCAAUUAGAAUCAUUACUAAUGUUUAGAAUGCUACAGCAUUCAAUUCAUUCUUAAUUGCUGUCAUGUUGCCACCUCAUACUCAAACCCAUUACAUGAUGCCUCUUUAUUAGAACAAUUCAUUACAUAGAUAAUUCUAGAUCAU